rnacentral:lncRNA from 1 species
GGGCGCGGGCCGGCCGCCGCGCGGUGCGCUCGCCGUGCUCUGUGCGGCUUGCCGGGCCGCCCGCCAGAGGGUGCCCCCCACCCCCAUGAAGUCGGAUCCUUGAGCUGCGGCGGCGGCAGCCAACUGCUCCAUAUUUGGCUUCUAUUACACAUUUACAUACUGGAGCGAGCGAGCGAGCGAGCGCGAGAGAGCGCGAGGGAGGGAGGGCGGGCGGGCGGAGGGAGGAGGGAGGGGAGGGGAGCGGGAGGAGGGGGAGGAGGAGGAGGAGGAGGAGGAGAGAGCAGAGUAUACCGCAGACAUCAUUUCUACUACAGUGGCGGAGCCGUACAGGACCUGUUUCACUGCAGGGGGAUCCAAAACAAGCCCCGUGGAGCAGCAGCCAGAGCAACAGCAGCCGCAAGACAUUGUUUCUCUCCCUCUGCCCCCCCUUCCCCACGCAACCCCAGAUCCAUUUACACUUUACAGUUUUACCUCACAAAAACUACUACAAGCACCAAGCUCCCUGAUGGAAAGGAGCAUCGUGCAUCAAGUCACCAGGGUGGUCCAUUCAAGCUGCAGAUUUAUUUGUCAUCCUUGUACAACAGUCUCCUCCUCCACUGCCACUACAGGGAAGUGCAUCACAUGUCAGAACGUCAGUGCUCUAUCCUCAUGUCCUUCUAAGAAUCAAAAGAUUUAACCUCACAGAAUCCAGCGUGUGGCUUUUGGGUGAGACUCCUUUUUCC